UGUAGCGGUAGGACGGAAGGGGGACGCCUUGUGCGUGCUGGGUUCUCGAAAACCAGUCUGUCAACCCUCUUUCGUUCUGCCACCAUA
rnacentral:antisense_RNA from 1 species